CCCCGGCAGGCGAUCCGGGCAGGUGCCGGCCGGCCCCGGACCGGCCGGAUGGGCGCCGAUCCGCUCCGGCGGCCGGGUG
rnacentral:tRNA from 1 species